rnacentral:rRNA from 1 species
UGGGGAAUUUUGGACAAUGGGCGCAAGCCUGAUCCAGCCAUGCCGCGUGCGGGAAGAAGGCCUUCGGGUCGUAAACCGCUUUUGUCAGGGAAGAAAUCUUCUGAGUUAAUACCUCGGGAGGAUGACGGUACCUGAAGAAUAAGCACCGGCUAACUACGUGCCAGCAGCCGCGGUAAUACGUAGGGUGCAAGCGUUAAUCGGAAUUACUGGGCGUAAAGCGUGCGCAGGCGGUUUUGUAAGACAGAGGUGAAAUCCCCGGGCUCAACCUGGGAACUGCCUUUGUGACUGCAAGGCUUGAGUGCGGCAGAGGGGGAUGGAAUUCCGCGUGUAGCAGUGAAAUGCGUAGAUAUGCGGAGGAACACCGAUGGCGAAGGCAAUCCCCUGGGCCUGCACUGACGCUCAUGCACGAAAGCGUGGGGAGCAAACAGGAUUAGAUACCCUGGUAGUCCACGCCCUAAACGAUGUCAACUGGUUGUUGGGAAGGUUCCUUCUCAGUAACGUAGCUAACGCGUGAAGUUGACCGCCUGGGGAGUACGGCCGCAAGGUUGAAACUCAAAUGAAUUGACGGGGUCAUAGCUGUUU